AUCCAACUGACGAGUCCCAAAUAGGAUGAAAUGUGCAUUAUCCUGGAU
rnacentral:hammerhead_ribozyme from 1 species